rnacentral:rRNA from 1 species
AACGAACGCUGGCGGCAUGCCUAACACAUGCAAGUCGAACGAGACCUUCGGGUCUAGUGGCGCACGGGUGCGUAACGCGUGGGAACCUGCCCUUAGGUUCGGAAUAACUCCCCGAAAGGGGUGCUAAUACCGGAUAAUGUCUUCGGACCAAAGAUUUAUCGCCUUUGGAUGGGCCCGCGUUGGAUUAGCUAGUUGGUAGGGUAAAAGCCUACCAAGGCGACGAUCCAUAGCUGGUCUGAGAGGAUGAUCAGCCACACUGGGACUAAGACACGGCCCAGACUCCUACGGGAGGCAGCAGUGGGGAAUAUUGGACAAUGGGCGAAAGCCUGAUCCAGCAAUGCUGCGUGAGUGAUGAAGGCCUUAGGGUUGUAAAGCUCUUUUACCCGGGAUGAUAAUGACAGUACCGGGAGAAUAAGCUCCGGCUAACUCCGUG